rnacentral:sRNA from 1 species
UCGACAGAUGCGACCGGCCCAUUGCCACAA